UACGUAGGGUGCAAGCGUUAAUCGGAAUUACUGGGCGUAAAGCGUGCGCAGGCGGUUGUGCAAGACCGAUGUGAAAAUCCCCGGGCUUAACCUGGGAAUGGCAUUGGUGACUGCACGGCUAGAGUGUGUCAGAGGGGGGGUAGAAUUCCACGUGUAGCAGUGAAAUGCGUAGAGAUGUGGAGGAAUACCGAUGGCGAAGGCAGCCCCCCUGGGAUAACACUGACGCUCAUGCACGAAAGCGUGGGGAGCAAACAGG
rnacentral:rRNA from 1 species